AAGUCCAACCGGCGAACUCCAGAUUGGUGCUGCGAAGUCAAUACUUUCUGAUACCGAGUGAAAAAAAAACUGUUGCGGAAAAAAAUGCAAGGAGUCAAUAUCCAGAGAAGCCGGUAUCCAGAAAAGCCCGUAUCCAGAUUGCAGGAAAUCGUUCGACCUCCAGCGGCUUUAGGAGAGUUCACAAUGUAAGUCACUCUGGCUCAAAACAACCAAUAGCGGUUUCCACAUCAGACGGUCAAGGAUGGUCGUCAUCCAUCGGACGAGAAGACUUAUCCACCUCUAAAUAGCUUCAUCCCAAGAUACUGACGAUGGUAGCUGCUAAAUGCUGCUAAGGCUCAUUACCGUUCACAAGAAGGAAACCGACAAAUUGUGCCUAGAGCGAAGGAAAAGGAUGUCUGGACUAAGAGGUUCGUUUUAUGUUUUAUAAUGUGCUAAAACUAAAUGUAGUGAAUGUUGAAAAUACAUACAAAAUAUUAUUAUUGAAAUAAUGAA